CAAGUGUGAAGUGUACUCCACGUCGUCGCAUUGCUCCUUUUCCUCGUCUCUCUCGGCGGAGAGAUUCACGCAUGCGGGAAACUCUCCUUCUCGGCGAAGAAAAUAAAUUUUCUACAUCGUCCAAUUUGCUCGAGGCGAAAAAUUUAUAGACAAAAAGUGCAUCGCGGAUCCGAGGUUUCCUGCAUUGCGGAAAUGUAAAUGAUAUCAGAUCUCAGAGUGAAACUGCCGCACGGAAUGUCGAUAUAUAUGUGACCUCCAUGCAAAAGGUGGUUCCACACAUCUGGGACACCCUUUAUAACACUGGGGGCUCGAUACGUCUCUUGGCGAAAAGAAAGAGAGAGAAAAUAGAAACGCACCGUGCCGCGAAGAAGGCACUGGGAUAAUGGAGGGGUAGAGCAGGAGGAGGAAGAUGAGGAGGAAGGAGGAGGGGGAAGCAAGAGAAAACGGUCCGAUGUCGAACUCGCGUGGUAACAUAGAGCUCUGCAUAUCCCGUCACUCGAAUAAAAACCAAACCCGGGAAUAUCGAUCCGACGCUAUAAACACCGACGAUUCCAUUUUGGUAUGUGCGUGCGUGCGUGUGCGUGCGAGCGGGCGGGCGAGCGAGCGAACAAAAUGUCGCCCCCAGCCCAUAUACCCACCAUAAUUAGUGGCGCGGUAAUAGCGAGUGGCGAGAGAAGGGAGGAAGAGGGGGAGGGAGGAGGCAUCGUGGAGAUCCGAAGGAGAGCGGGAAAUACGAUUGAAAGGCGGGUUGGCGCGACAAAGAGGGGAUGGGGAGAGGAGGCGGGGGGAGAAAGAAAAAUUGGGAGAGGGGAAGGAGCGAGAGGGAGAAAAGGAACAACUGUGCCAGGGGGACGGCCGACACACAUGGACACAUUUCGCCAUAAUGGAAAUUUAUGAAUACAAACGGACGAUUGUAAUAAUAGCAAAAAAAAAGAUGCAAGACGUGCGAGAGAGGCUUCUUUUUUUUCUCCCCUCUGCGACGCUCGCCGGAAGGCGCAACAAAAUGUACGACGCUGGCGUCACACGCACGCACGCACGCACGCACGCACAUACGUAUCCGGUCGUCCCUCCAUGCGAAUCCGAGGUGGCGGCGUCUCGCGGACGCCGACAUAUUGAAAUACAAAAUGAAGAACGCCGUUCGGAGAAAUGAUGGGACAGGAGUGCGUGCGAGAGAGACGGAGAGAGAGAAAAUAAACAAAAAGGAAAGACAGGCGAUGCAGUGUUAUCGAACAGUUGCACCGUGUCGACGAGUUGUCGUCGCCUCCAGCGAGGAUCGUCGUCGUCGUCGUCGUCGUCGGUGCGAUAUUCCGAAUAUUUAGCGAUUAUUUUCGUAUGGUAUGUAAAACACCGGAAGCACGGCGAAGGGGUGUACACCCUCGACGGUCGUCCUACGACGACCAUUACGACGACGACAACGACGACGAUGACGCCACCACGAGAAGCGCCUUCAACACGAACGUCUCACUCUACCUUCAUCAGCAGUGUAACAAGGCUGCUGUACGAUAUUUGGGAAAAACCACCGGUCGUUACUAUUCGACCAGUGGUGCAAAACCUGAAUUAACAUCGAUCAGGUACAAAAUGCGACGCGGACCCUAUGCCACGGUCACGGACGCAGACGUUCGCUUCUUCGAUUCGUUGCUCGGCUCCAAUCAUCUCAUCACAGAUCCAGAUGAAUGCGAGAGUUAUAACAUCGAUUUUCCAAAGACUAUUAGAGGUAUGAGUCAACUAGUAUUGAAACCGAAAUGUACCGAGGAGGUAUCGGCCAUAUUAAAAUACUGUAAUGAGAAACGAUUAGCAGUUUGCCCGCAAAGUGGUAACACCGGUCUUGUUGGCGGGAGCAACCCGGUGUUUGACGAAAUCGUCAUCUCCAUGCAACUCAUGAAUAAAAUUCUGGAUACAAAUGAAUUGGCAGGUGUACUGACAUGCGAGGCUGGCUGCGUUUUACAGGACUUGGAGAAUCAUUUGGCUACCGUCGAGUUGAUGAUGCCUUUGGACCUUGGAGCAAAAGGUAGUUGUAUGAUUGGCGGUUGCGUAUCCACAAAUGCUGGGGGAUUGCGACUUCUGCGUUACGGUAAUCUUCAUGGAAACGUUUUAGGAAUCGAAGCAGUAAAGGCAAACGGCGACAUUAUGAACGCGAUGAAUACACUUAAGAAGAACAAUACUGGAUAUCACUUGAAACAUCUUUUUAUAGGCUCAGAAGGCACGUUAGGGAUUGUAACCAAGGUAGUUAUUCAGUGUCCACCGUUACCAAAGGCUGUUAACAUCGCAUUUCUAGGAUUGGAAAGCUUUGAUAAAGUAUUGCAAAUAUCUCAUUUAGCGAAACGUCAACUAGGUGAGAUUCUGUCCUCCUGUGAGAUGAUGGACCGAUUGUCUAUGGACGUCUCUAUUAAUAAUCUGGGUUUGAAGAAUCCGUUGACAAGUCGUGAAGAUGGUCAUGAGUUUUAUAUGAUUAUUGAAACAUCCGGUAGUCAUUUGGCUCAUGACGAAGAGAAAUUAUCCUCGUUUGUAGAAAAAGCGAUCAAUGAUGACAUAAUUGAAGAUGGCACGUUGACAAACGAAACAACAAAACUUAAUAAUAUAUGGGCCCUUCGAGAAAGAAUUAGCGAAGGUGUCUUACGUGACGGAUAUGUCUUCAAAUACGACAUCUCUUUACCUCUGUUAUCCUUUUAUGAAGUUGUCGAGGUGCUCCGCAAGAGACUACGCGAUCCACGUAUUGUUAGGAUUAGCGGUUACGGCCAUUUAGGUGACGGAAAUAUUCAUGUACAAGUCUCUAUACCGGAGUAUUAUGAGGACGUAGCUGCGCAAUUGGAGCCAUUUAUUUUUGAGUAUGUGUCGCAACGCCAGGGUAGCAUUAGUGCCGAACACGGUAUCGGUUUUAAAAAGACUAAAUAUCUUUAUCUGAGCAAGAGCUCUUCCGAGAUCAAAAUGAUGUACGAUUUGAAGAAAAUGAUGGAUCCGAAUGGCAUUCUGAAUCCAUAUAAAGUUUUAAAACCAAUUGUACAAGCGUCAUGAUUAUUGUAAAAAUAAUUUCUAUCAAAAAUGAAAUGUGCCAUUUAAUGUGCCACUUGAACAAAAUCGAGUAAAGGAUUAUAGAUAGAAGAUCGAAACUUUCGAGAAAGAUAUCUAUUUAGGCGAACGAUUCUGGAACCAACGAGACAUCUUGCGAGAUAUCGCGAGAUAAUCAUGCGCAUGCGCUGUACUAUCGAACGAUCUCGAAAAGGCGGUAAACUGAAUAUAAAUCGGCGCAAUAGCACCAGUUGCGCAGUUAAUCGCAAAGUGAAUUCGCGGCUGGACGUCUGGGAGGAAGCGAGUCCUGUAGCGAAACUCAUAUUGUGCAGCACAACGAAUAAUUUCGCGAAUCGAACAUUCAACGAUAAUCGAGUAUUGACGAAUUUCCGAACUUUCGAAAUUAAUUUUCGAAGGCAGUGAG
rnacentral:misc_RNA from 1 species